ensembl:lncRNA
UAGGUCUUUAAGAGUUUAUUCGGAAGAUAAUAGCUCUAUAAAUAUUAUUUUGUGGUGCCCAACUCUCUAAUAUUAAUUACGGAGAAAUGAUUUUAUAGAAUAGCAUGUCAUAUCACUUAAUCCGGCAUAGCCAAAGACACGACACUACAAUACUCCCUUCUACUACAGUUCCCAGGUAGACCAUGUCCUUCCUACCUGUAACAUACUACAGUUCCCAGGUAGACCAUGUCCUUCCUACCUAUAACAUACUACAGUUCCCAGGUAGACCAUGUCCUUCCUACCUGUAACACACUACAGUUCCCAGGUAGACAAUGUCCUUCCUACCUGUAACAUACUACAGUUCCCAGGUAGACAAUGUCCUUCCUACCUGUAACAUACUACAGUUCCCAGGUAGACCAUGUCCUUCCUACCUAUA